GACGAACGCUGGCGGCGUGCCUAAUACAUGCAAGUCGAGCGAAGUUUUUCUGGUGCUUGCACCGGAAAAACUUAGCGGCGAACGGGUGAGUAACACGUAAAGAACCUGCCUCAUAGACUGGGGCAACUAUUGGAAACGAUAGCUAAUACCGGAUAAUAGCAUUAACUGCAUGGUUGAUGUUUAAAAGUUGGUUUUGCUAACACUAUGAGAUGGCUUUGCGGUGCAUUAGCUAGUUGGUGGGGUAAAGGCCUACCAAGGCGACGAUGCAUAGCCGACCUGAGAGGGUGAUCGGCCACACUGGGACUGAGACACGGCCCAGACUCCUACGGGAGGCAGCAGUAGGGAAUCUUCCGCAAUGGGCGAAAGCCUGACGGAGCAACGCCGCGUGAGUGAAGAAGGAUUUCGGUUCGUAAAGCUCUGUUGUUAGGGAAGAAUGAUUGUGUAGUAACUAUACACAGUAGAGACGGUACCUAACCAGAAAGCCACGGCUAACUACGUG
rnacentral:rRNA from 1 species